AUUGAACGCUGGCGGUAGGCUUAACACAUGCAAGUCGUGCGAGAAAGUACCUUCGGGUGCGAGUAGAGCGGCGGACGGGUGAGUAACGCGUAGGAAUCUACCUAGUAGAAGGGGAUAGCCCGAGGAAACUCGGAUUAAUACCGUAUACCUCCUUAGGGAGAAAGAGGGCUUAGCUUUGAUGCUCUCGCUAUUAGAUGAGCCUGCGUAAGAUUAGCUUGUUGGUGAGGUAAUGGCUCACCAAGGCGACGAUCUUUAGCUGGUCUGAGAGGACGAUCAGCCACAUUGGGACUGAGACACGGCCCAGACUCCUACGGGAGGCAGCAGUGGGGAAUAUUGGACAAUGGGCGCAAGCCUGAUCCAGCCAUACCGCGUGUGUGAAGAAGGCUUUCGGGUUGUAAAGCACUUUAAGUAAGGAGAAAAAGAUUGUAGUUAAUACCUGCAAUCCGUGA
rnacentral:rRNA from 1 species